rnacentral:rRNA from 1 species
ACGGCACAGGAUGGGUCUGCGCGUAUCAGGUUGUAGGGGGUGUAAAGGACCCCCUAGCCAUUGACGCGUACGGGUUGUGGGAGCAAUCGCCCGGAGAUGGAUUCUGAGACACGAAUCCAGACCCUACGGGGUGCAGCAGGCGCGAAAACUUCACACUGCAGGAAACUGUGAUGAGGGAACUCCAAGUGCAUGCACAAUGUGUAUGCUUUUCCUUACUUUUAAUCGGUUUGGGAAUAAGGGCUGGGAAAGACCGGUGCCAGCCGCCGCGGUAAUACCGGCAGCUCAAGUGGUCGUCGCUUUUAUUGGGCCUAAAACGUCCGUAGCCUGUUUGGUAAAUCUGUGGGUAAAUCAACCAGCUUAACUGGUUGAAUUCUGCAGAGACUGCCAGACUAGGGACCGGGAGAGGUGUGGGGUACUCUCGGGGUAGGGGUAAAAUCCUGUCAUCCUGGGAGGACCACCAGUUGCGAAGGCGCCACACUGGAACGGAUCCGACGGUCAGGGACGAAGCCUAGGGGCACGAACCGGAUUAGAUACCCGGGUAGUCCUAGGAGUAAACGCUGUGAACUUGGUGUCGGGGAUCCUACUUGGGUUCCCGGUGCCGGAGUGAAGAUGUUAAGUUCACUGCCUGGGGAGUACGGUCGCAAGGCUGAAACUUAAAGGAAUUGGCGGGGGAGCACUGCAACGGGAGGAGCGUGCGGUUUAAUUGGAUUCAACGCCGGAAAACUCACCAAGGCCGACUGUUAGAUGAAGACCAGCGUAAUGAGCUUGUCGGAUUUUCAGAGAGGUGGUGCAUGGCCGUCGUCAGUUCGUACUGCAAAGCGUUCUGUUAAGUCAGAUAACGAACGAGACCCGCAUCCCUAUUUGCCACCCUGUUCUCCGGAGCAGGCGCACCAUAGGGAGACCGCUGGUGUGAAACCAGAGGAAGGCGCGGGCAACGACAGGUCAGUAUGCCCCGAAUGUCUUGGGCUACACGCGCGCUACAAAGGACGGGACAAUGGGAAGCCAGGCCGAGAGGUCGA